AUAUAAACACCGACGCUCCUUCUUCCUCACCACAGCAUAAAUAAAUUCAAAGAUCAAGGAAAAUACCGAUCGAAAUUUAAAGAGGAAGAAUCGAACAAUACAAAAAAAAAAAAAAAGGUAAAAAGGGAGAAAAUCAUCAAAAUAGUAAACCUCAAUUCAGGGAAAAAGAAUCAGAUUCCCAAAACUGUUUCUUCUUCGUUUGAUUUCAUCAAGUUCUAGAAAAAUCGGGUUUUUGGUUUUGGUGGUUUUUGGAGUAAUGAACGAGCAAGGAAAAAUGAUGAAUCAACAACAGAGAAUGAGUAUGAGUAUGAGUCAACCACAGAUCUUGAAUCCACAACUUCAACAGCAACCACAGCAGCAGCCACAGAUGAUGAAUCGGAGCUAUAGGAUGUGGCCACAGCCGCCUCUGCCUCCGCCUUCGGUGGUGGAUCAGCUUAAAUUUCAAAACCCUAAUCAUAAUUUGAAGCAAUUUGUUACUGGAAAGCAUCCCAAACCCUUGGGUCCUAGGAACAAUUGGAAGGGUAAAAAGGUAAAUAAGGACAAGAGAAUGGAUGCAGUACGGAGGAACGAGAUUGGAACUAGCGGCAGUAGUAGUAUAGCUGGUGGAAAUGUUGGAACUCAAGGCGGAUAUAAGCCGCCUACCUUAAACGAUUUGCAACAACAAAAUCGAUUAAAGGCUAGGAGGUUUUUCCCUAAGAAGAAAUUCUAUCAUAAUAAUAAUAAUAAUAAUUACAAUAACAUGACUGCACCUUAUGCGCCUCGGAACACGUCUUCGUAUAUCAUUAGGGCUAAAAAGAGUGGUGGUAUUGCUUCUUUGGUGUCCCCUUGCCCUGUGACUCCUGCUGUGCUGCCAACGCCAAUGUUCUCGCCGUCCAGGGAAGUGUUAGUAGAUAUGGCGAAAGAGGAGUGGGGAGUAGAUGGGUAUGGAUCGAUGAAUGGAUUGAUUAGACUGAGGUCACCCAGUCAUGAGGCAGAAGGACAUGAUGAUGAGGAAGAAGAGGAGGGAGGAUCAAGUGAGAGUGAUGUGGAAGAACAUGUAGAGGUGGAAAGGCGGUUGGAUCAUGACUUGAGCAGGUUUGAGAUGAUUUACCCAAACUAUACUGGGAUGGAGUAUAACAAUGUGUUGGGAAACCGUGUGGAUGAUCAGGAUACCCAUAUUGCUCAAUUGGAGGAAGAGAACUUGAUUUUGAAGGACAGAUUGUUCUUGAUGGAGAGGGAAUUGGGUGAUUUGAGGAGGAGGUUGCAAAGUCUUGAGAGGCAAGGCCAUGGUUAUGACGAGAUGAAUGAGGAGGUUGUGGAGAAUGAGUCUGAGAGUGAGACUGAGAGUCAUGGGGAUGGCCAUUCUUUGGAGGAUAACAAUGUUGAACUGGUUGAGAGGCCCAUGGAAGGAGUUGAGAAUGUGAAAGGGAAGGAAGAGAAUAGGAUUGAGGAUGACACAGAGUUCGCAGAAAACGAAGAGAUAGUUGGAAAAGAAGGUGAACAGGUUAAUGGUAAUGAUGAAACUGUUGAAAAGGAAUCUGAUGAAGUAGGAAAAGAAGAUGAAGUUGAUGGACGAGAUGGUGUGGUUGAAGUGCUUAAGAAGGAAAUCAUUGCUGAUGUCGGAAGCAAGAGUGAACCGAAAGAUGAUCCAGCCGUGCAAACUGGGAAUGAGGUUCAGCUUACUCAAUUGAUCAAGAACAAUGAAAACGAGGUUCAGGCAUCACACAAUGCAAAUGUUGAAGAUGUUACCAUGGAGGAGGCUUCUAGAGUGGAGGCUGAUAUGAAUUCCCGAACAAAGAAAGAGGAUGAAUUGCUAGGAGAUAAAUGAUCAGGGUGACUUGUCUAAGUCUCCCUUGUCAAUUUUUUGACAACCGAUUUCUGCAGCUGGAAGAGACAGAAGAUUUGAGAACUUUCACACUCUUGAUGCAUUCAUCGAUUUGCAUGGUGAUGGUUUAUUCUUUUUGGACUCCAAUGGUUUUUCUCUUUGUGCAUCACCAACACUACCAAUCAUUUAGAGGAUGUGGUACACAGGUUAUGAUAUAGUUCUUGCUUUAAUUAGACCUCCUUGGCUCUUUGUGACUGUCAAUAAUAUUUGUUUCUAAAUGUUGUGACCACUUUCACUUGUUGGAAUGAUGCAUCACCUUUCAUGUUUUGGGGGCUUCCUUAAGUAUACCUGCUAGCUGCUGGAUUAUCACGAGGGGAAGCGGAAGGCUAGACUGUGCAGAGGGGAUGUCCUAUUGCUGGUGGCAGAAAAACAGGGGCGAUGGUGAUGUUACUUGUCCCUCUGCUGGCUGCAUUUGUUGAGUUUUAUAUAGAACAUGCAUGUUUCUAUAAGGGCUCUUUGGUUGGGGAACAAUUUAUUGCAGGAUUAGUUAUCAUGGAAUUGUUUUCCCACCCUCAAUGUGGGAUAAAAAUUAACACUAUAAUCCUAGAAUAAACUAAUUUCGGGAUAAGUUAUCCGGUGAUUUUAUCCCCAACCGAACAUGGGAUGAACUCAUCCUAAAAUCAAUAUAUGGAUGGAUUAGUUAUCCCUUAUCCUUCCUCCAAGUGUGAAGAUCUAAUACUAUUAAGUGUACAGUAGGUAUAGAUAUAGAUGCUGCUAAAUUGUUUAGUGGAGUCAUUUUUUAGGGUUUGCCGUUAGUUGUAGUAGGAUAUAUGGUUCAUUUCAUUUCUUUUCAGGUGCUUCAUCUGCUUUAAUCCCUGUUAUAUUGGACUUUGACCACCUGCUUUUCUUUCGUUUUUUGUGUCUGAUUAAGAAAUACAACGUGCUGUUGUAGGCUGGUAAGUAGAUACUUCUCCAGAGUAUCACAAUCUGGAGAUCUUUAAUAAAUUUGAUGGCCUGUUAAUUUUAGCUGUUUAUCUAGGAUUUUGCAGUUCUCCACUUAGAGCUAGAUUUUCUACUUUGACUGGGAUUGUUUCUUGGCUACUCGUGUUUUGUCUCAGUUGUGCUUCUCUUGCAUAUAUGUCUGACAGUCUCGACUCCUUUCCUCUUGUUGACUUCUUAUUGCAUGUUUGAGCUACGUACAUUGAUCUCACAAGGGUGAUCAACCUUUUUUUUGCCUAUUGUUGAGAGGUUGAGCUGAAUUUAGAAUACAAACUUUAUGGGUUUGUGUUUGCAGUUCUGCCUCAUUUCAUCUGAUAUUUUACUGGGUUCAAUAUAUAUAUUAAUUUACUCUUAUUUUGAAAAAUACAUAUGCGGUCUAAGUUAGAGCUAUUGGAUACCAGAUGAACUCAUGGCUUACUCACUGAAGUCGCCUGUCUAGUGGCAACUUCAAUCACAUAUCUGGAUUGAGCAGCGGGUGUAAAAUCAGAUUUCCCAGUCUCUGUGAUAGAGAGAUUAUUAUUUGUCUAGUUAAAAGAAAGAAAGGUUAUGUUACUUCCCUGGAAUGUUCGUUACUGGUUACAUUAAUGAAGUAUUCAAGCUUUCUGCAAUAAAGUAUGUUUAACAUUACUUUAUCAAGAGAAAUUUGUGGGAAUAGAACAAAGGCAAACAUAUGUGGGGGUAUCUAUUCUUUACGUCAAAUUUGGCGUCCCAAGUAAAUCUGUUUCUAGUAUGGUAGAAUUUUAUUUUAUUUUUAAAAAAAAUUGGGGUUGAUUACAAGAUGUAGAAUUGAAUCCUCAUUAACAAGAUAAAGAUUUAGAUAGAUGUUAACUAAGAUAUCUCUUUUCAGUAUCAAAUACGAUGUUUCACAUAAUCUUCGUUCAAAAGCCUUGAAAAAUUUAAAAGUUGAUUUUUUUUUGGGCAC